rnacentral:rRNA from 1 species
CCUACGGGAGGCUGCAGUGGGGAAUAUUGGACAAUGGGGGGAACCCUGAUCCAGCCAUGCCGCGUGUGUGAAGAAGGCCCUCGGGUUGUAAAGCACUUUCAGUGAGGAAGAACGCCUGGUGGUUAAUACCCAUCAGGAAAGACAUCACUCACAGAAGAAGCACCGGCUAACUCCGUGCCAGCAGCCGCGGUAAUACGGAGGGUGCGAGCGUUAAUCGGAAUUACUGGGCGUAAAGCGCGCGUAGGUGGCUUGAUAAGCCGGUUGUGAAAGCCCCGGGCUCAACCUGGGAACGGCAUCCGGAACUGUCAAGCUAGAGUGCAGGAGAGGAAGGUAGAAUUCCCGGUGUAGCGGUGAAAUGCGUAGAGAUCGGGAGGAAUACCAGUGGCGACGGCGGCCUUCUGGACUGACACUGACACUGAGGUGCGAAAGCGUGGGUAGCAAACAGGAUUAGAUACCCUUGUAGUC